AGAAGAUGCCUCCCCACCAAGUGGCCAGUUCUUCCCCAGAUAAUGAAUUAUCUUUUCUGCAACCCCACCGCUCCGCCUCCUCCACCAUGCUGGAAUAUGGCUUCCAUGUUCUGAUUCUCCAACUUGUCAGCUGGUUUCUAUUCUCUUUACCUCUCUUGAAAUUGUACGGGGAUCUCUCCUCCACUGUUUCCUCCCAUUACCUCGACUGUUAUGAGUUUAUUCCCAUGUUUUUAUCUUAUGUCUCUGGAAGGAGGAGUAAACCAUGGUCAUAUGUGUAUUUUAUUUCUUUCUUGAUUAUAACAUAGUUUAGGUUUAUUAUAAACAAAAAAUACAAGCAAUCAAGAAAAAUAUAAAAAGGAAAGGAAAACUUCAUAAAAUCUUGUGUCUCAGAGGUACUCACUGUUAACAUGCUGAUGGAAAUUCUUCCCAAGUCAACCAACUCUUCCUGCUCCGUGUGGAAUUCCCAGAGGGGGUUCGCCUGUGCUUUUAUCUUGGAGUCUUCACUCCUCUGGGAGCCAUUAUGCCAAAGUUGACUGCUGAGCCAGGGAGAGUUAGCAGGAGCUAACUUUGCCUUCUACUGUGUGGGGUGACCCACAGGGUCAGAGACAAGAGAACUCUCCGAAGGCGUGCACCUGGCAGACCCAGUUUCUCCGUCCAUGUGAGGGGCCUGUGUGAAGGCAUCAGAUGACCCCGUGCUUUUCUGGGCCAUCAGUCAACUCUCCAAGUGUGUGCUUUGCUUUUGACUUGGCCCAAGCUCCUGGCAGCAAAGAGGCUGAAGAGAGGGGAAGGCCUCAAUCUCCCAGCCAUGCACAGGUUGAAAGAAAGAAAACCAUCACACUGCUUUCCUGAGGAAGACUUUGGACUUUUUCUUAAAUGUUUAUGCUUCUCUCCUUCAUCCCCACGUAAGACAUUUUAGACAAACUCUGCCACCAAGAUACUGAGUUUGUGGGUCCCAGGUAGGGAGGGUGCAGAGAGGGGGCAGAAGGAUUCUGCCUGUGAGUGACAGCUUGAAAAAUGGAACUUUGCAGGGCCAGGCCCCCUACUCUUACCAUCAUUUGCUGACUAUCCGAGGGACGAGGAGACAAAAUCUCUCACUUUCUCGGACACACAGAUAAUCAGAGCACUCUCUGAGACUUUGAUCAAACCACACAUUUUUUUCCAGUAGUGGUUCUGGUGGAGAUAGGCCAUUUUAUGGAUAUUUUGGAAGUGAUUUCCUCUAUAUAAAAAGCACAUGUUCUGAGUUUGUUCUCCUGGCCAAAAAUGUCGCUAUAGCAUGGCAAUGAACCCCUCCCAGCACCUUUUUGUUGUGUUUUUUGUUUCGCAAUGCAUCAGGAGACUGAACUGAGAGAUAAAACAUGGAGAUAGGAACAGGAAAAUAUAAAAGUCACACCUUGCCAAGCUCACCACACCCAGAAAAAAACAAAAAAACAAAAAAACUGUCAAUAAAACAAGGGCCCUAUACAACUACAUCUCCUUCUAGACUGAACUCACCUUCCCUGUUCAGCAUAGGCUUCUUGGACCCUGUAAGGCAGGAUUGAGACUGCUGGCCUCUGUGUGACAUAAUAUAUUUCUUAUUGCACCAUUUUGCAGUGAUUUGUUUGUGUCUUUUUUCUUUU
rnacentral:lncRNA from 10 species